CUAAUAUGGUACAUAAAUAUAGAUGCAUAUAUGCCUAGGUACAUAGUAUUUUCCUUGUGUAAAUGCGGUUAGCAAGUCCCAUGAGAUUAUAUUAUUUUCAAAAAAACUAUUUGUCAAAAGGAAGAAAGAACAAAAAAAAUGCAUCAAGCAGCCACCAGCUCAAAUGACAACCACUAAAGUUACAAACAUGUGAAGAUUACAAUCAAAUGCAUGCCACAAAAUUAAGCUUUGAAACACAGGUACUUAAGACAUUAUUUAUCCAUACAUGUGAAAAUAACAUGCACUUGUACAAGAUGAAAAUCCAAAUGAAAACGGUAGAUUACUUUCAAAUAACAAAACAAGUGAAAAAAAAAUAUAUGGUGGACUUUAUUGACAUGGCAAUUAGACAUACAAAAGCGUUAUUCAAAUAGCAAGCCAGACGGCCAGAGCCUCCACAUAUCUGUCUCCAUGAAUCAUGCAUCUAUAAUGUCGGUGAACAAGGCUAUUAAAGCUAAAGUCAUUAAUGAACUUCAAAUAGGAAUUAAUGACAAAAUGCUAACGGAUAGAAAGCUCUAUUAGCAGGAAAGAGAGAGUUUUUAUGCAUGUUUUAGACAGAGAGAAAAGUUACCAGCAAGUAAAAGAUACACAAUUUCUCUAAGACGCAUGCAUCAAUCAUUUAUACAAGGAAAACCCAUCUGCCUAGGAGCCAAAAAUAAAAGAAAAUCAUUCUGAAACAAAUUAAACGCAACCGCGCAGGUCAAAUUAUUCCCCCCAGUUGAGCUCAGUUUUUCUGUUUUCUCUGUUAGCUACAAGAAACACCAAUGCAUAACAUAGCAAAAUGAAGGUUGGUUGAGAUAGGCUUUCGCACGCAGUCAAACAGAGGGUUAAAGUCUCAAAUUGAAACGAACACAUUAGCUAUAAAACUCAUUAAAACUUAAAACACAUUAUAGCAGAAGCCCAGAAUAGUAAAAUA
rnacentral:misc_RNA from 1 species